GCAAGAUCAUGACCUUGAGCUGAAAUCAGACACUUAACCGACUGAGCCACCCAGGCGCCCGGAAAGUGCUGGAAGACCAAAGGGAGAGGGUAAACCAAACCAAAGGGCUACGUGGGAUUCAAGAAACAGAAGGAAGUCUCCAGGAUGAUGAGACCAGUCUCAGAGAAAUGUUGAUCCAGAGAGUAAUGAUAGUGAAGGCAUGAGACUUUCCCCUGGAGCCUAUGAAAUGCGUGAAGAUACUGUGGAAGGAACUGAGGUUCUGUAUGCUGAGCUCUUCAAUCACAUGCACACACUUUAAAGAAAUAUCAUGCCAGAGAGGAGGCAGUUCAUACAGGAAGAAAUCAGUUUACAUAGAUGAGCGAAGGUGCUCCUCGGAGAAGAAGCACUGAAUAAAAGAUGGGGCACGCCAUCUCACUGCGGAGAAGGGAGAAAAUGACGAACCCUUUGGGACAGAAUGUACUCCUCUAGGGAAAAUGAUAAGUUAGCGAGUAGUAAACAGUAGCCUCGUUCCCUGAAAGAUGCUACAGGUGAGCAUUACCACUAACCAACCAUAAAGAAUUUCUUCUGGGAUUUUAAGAUUGGGUUUUUAUAUAGUUUGGUAUGAUUUAGUUAUUUCCGCCAGAAGGACAGUGUGCUUUAAUCAGACAAUUUUAUUCCCUCAUGGAAGACCCUAAAGCCAAGAUAAAGGUCUGUCCCAAAGCCUUGAUAAAAAUGCAGUAUUUCCUCAUAAACGGACCUGGGCAAUAUGUAGCAAGGGACUUAAAAAUCAUCCUUAUCCUUUUACACAGUAAUCCUAAUUCCAGAAAUCUGCCCUAAGGAAAUAACCAAAUUUUGGUCAAAGAUUUUGAUUCAAGGAAGUUCAUUUCAGUGUUAUUUAUAAUAGAGAAAAAGUUGGGAGCAUCAUAUAUGUUCAAUAGGAAAGGAAUGAUUAACUAAAUUGUGGUAUAUUCACAUGUGGGAAUUUUGGACAGCCAUUACAAAAUCCAAUUUUCAAGAAUUAUUUAAUGACUUUGGAAAUGUUCUCACUCUAAUGUUAAGUAAUGAAAGCAGGACACUAGUGGGAAUACAAAAUGUACAACCUCUAUGGAGGGAAAUUUGGCAAUCUCUACUAUAAUUUCAUGCACAUUAACCCUUUGACCCAGCAAUUCUAUUUCCAGGAACCUAUCCCAAAGAUAUACUGGCAAAUACACAAAGUGGUAUAUGUGCACCAUUACUCACUGUAACAUUAUUCAUAAUAGCAAGAAUAGGAAUAACCCGAAUGCCCAUCGUCAGGUGAUUGGGGUAGAUUAUCAGAGGUACAAAAUGGAACAUACACAGCUAUAAAGGGAAUAAGGAAGAACUUUAUGUUCAGAAUAUUUGGUUAAGAAAAAAAAAUCAAGAUACAGACCAAUUUAUACGAUAUGCCACCUUUUGUGUGUGUAAACCAAAUUCACUUAUUUUAUGGUGUUAGAAAGAACAAACAAAAAACCUUAUGAGUUCACCUGUGGGGCAUGUGACAGUUGGUCUCUAUAUAAUGCCUGUCACUUACUUCUGUUGAGUGAGUCUCAACCGGGGAUAGUUUUGCCCCCCAGGCAACAUUUGGCAAUGUCUGAAGACAAAUUGGGGCUGUUACAAUGGGGAGUCAUGCUACCGGCAUCUAGUGAGGAAACCCCAGGGGUGCUGGGGGCCUCAUACAAUGCACAGGGCGGCGCCCUCAGCCAACAGUUAUGUCAGUAACUGGCCCAAAAUGUCAAUAGCGCUGACAUUGAGACAUCCCAAAUUAGCACUUCCAUCCUGGGCCACGUGUGUACCAUUUUCCUCAUCAAAAUGUUGCUGUCCUGAGAGUAUUGGUAUUAUUACAGAGAAACUCUGUUACACACACAAAUACAAAAUAGAUCUAUCUACAUAUUAGGAUUAGAUGAAUAUUAAUUGUAUUAAUGUUAAGAACUGUGAUUUUCCCAAUUAGAGAAAAGCUAUGGCUAUAAAAUCAAAAAUUUCACUAAAACUCUUGUAAUCUCACAUUUGAAUGAGCGAUACUGGUAUGGAUUCAUUAUUUGCCCCUUUUUAAACCUGUGUAUUUCCCUAGUUCUGCCCAGUCAAAAGGCCAAGAAGCAAUGAUAACCCAGUUAGCAAGGAGCACCCCUAAUUGUGAGGUUUCAGUCUCGAAAUAUUAUUUUUCCCAUUAAAGGAUAUGAUGAGCACAAUUCAGAAAAUUUAGACAUAUUACAGGACAGUCUCCCUGGCAGCAAUCAAG